UACAGAGGGUGCGAGCGUUGUCCGGAAUCACUGGGCGUAAAGGGCGCGUAGGUGGCGGCCCAAGUCCGUGGUGAAAGCUCGCCGCUUAACGGCGAGUCGGCCACGGAGACUGGGUGGCUCGAGCACUGUAGGGGCAGAUGGAAUUCCGGGUGUAGCGGUGGAAUGCGUAGAGAUCCGGAAGAACACCAGUGGCGAAGGCGGCUCACUGGCCCGAUACUGACGCUGAGGCACGAAAGCGUGGGGAGCAACAGG
rnacentral:rRNA from 1 species